GGAGGGGUGCCAGAGUGGUCGAAUGGGGCGGUCUCGAAAACCGUUGUGCCCUCACGGGUACCGUGGGUUCGAAUCCCACCCCCUCCG
rnacentral:tRNA from 1 species